GGGUUAACAUUAACCUGGUAAUGGUUCACAAGUGGUAUAGGCUCUGGUAAUAAUGGUAUAUCUAUCAAAAUGGUCAAGGUAAUGUGAGCUGAGCUGUCCAGAAUCGUCUGCUACAACCGUUUAUAUAGUCCGGAAGUCUGCGGACACAGAAAGUGUGUCCGUUACUAUAACGAUAAGUGUGUCCGUAAAAUUAACGUAGCGAUUGGUUGUAAUUCUGAAUAUACAUAAUACCGGGUUCUGGAAACUAGGUUAUCUCUGUCCAUUCCGAUUGGUCCUUAAAACCGGAAGUUCCCACGGCAAUAAUAUGGAACAUGGCGCAAAAACAAAUAGAAAUACACAACUGUCGAGGGAAAAGGGGAGAUAUGGGCUUAUCAAGAAUAACCCUUAGUGGGAACGUACCCUGGUUACAAUAUAGACCCUUAACGUGAUUGAAUAAAACAGUGAGCAAAAGGGACAAGCGAUAUACAGGUCAAACUAAAGCUGGGAUCAUGUCAAAGUACCCCCCUGGUCAAACAGUGAGAACGAACCCUGUCCUAUCAAUAUUUCCCAUAAACAAUAAUAUAAUACAUACAAUACAAUACAAUACGGCCGCGAUACCUGAAAUAUAAAGUGUUCAUAGGCAUAGUCCUUCCGUUCAUAAUAUAACAGUGCAGCUCAGAGUAACGGAACACGAAAAUGAAAGUGAAAGUAGAAAUGAACUCUCUGAGCA
rnacentral:lncRNA from 1 species